rnacentral:tRNA from 1 species
GCCCGGGUAGCGCAAUGGUAACGCGUUGCCCUCCUACUUGCUAGGCAGGCAAAGAUUGCGGGUUCGAUCCCCGUCUCGGGUG